rnacentral:rRNA from 1 species
GAUGAACGCUGGCGGCGUGCCUAAUACAUGCAAGUCGAGCGAACGGACGAGAAGCUUGCUUCUCUGAUGUUAGCGGCGGACGGGUGAGUAACACGUGGAUAACCUACCUAUAAGACUGGGAUAACUUCGGGAAACCGUAGCUAAUACCGGAUAAUAUUUUGAACCGCAUGGUUCAAAAGUGAAAGACGGUCUUGCUGUCACGUAUAGAUGGAUCCGCGCUGCAUUAGCUAGUUGGUAAGGUAACGGCUUACCAAGGCAACGAUGCAUAGCCGACCUGAGAGAGUGAUCGGCCACACUGGAACUGAGACACGGUCCAGACUCCUACGGGAGGCAGCAGUAGGGAAUCGUCCGCAAUGGGCGAAAGCCUGACGGAGCAACGCCGCGUGAGUGAUGAAGGUCUUCGGAUCGUAAAACUCUGUUAUUAGGGAAGAACAUAUGUGUAAGUAACUGUGCACAUCUUGACGGUACCUAAUCAGAAAGCCACGGCUAACUACGUG